UUGGCACCUCGAUGUCGGCUCGUCGCAUCCUGGGGCUGGAGUCGGUCCCAAGGGUUGGGCUGUUCGCCCAUUAAAGCGGUACGCGAGCUGGGUUUAGAACGUCGUGAGACAGUUCGGUCCCUAUCCGCUGUGCGCGUAGGAAUAUUGAGAAGGGCUGUCCCUAGUACGAGAGGACCGGGACGGACGAACCUCUGGUGUGCCAGUUGUUCUGCCAAGGGCAUGGCUGGUUGGCUACGUUCGGAAAGGAUAACCGCUGAAAGCAUCUAAGCGGGAAGCCUGCUUCGAGAUGAGUAUUCCCACCAACUUGAUUGGUUAAGGCUCCCAGUAGACGACUGGGUUGAUAGGCCAGAUGUGGAAGCCCGGUAACGGGUGGAGCUGACUGGUACUAAUAGGCCGAGGGCUUGUCCUCAGUUG
rnacentral:rRNA from 1 species